UUUACAAAAAAUUGUGGGCCUUGAAACAAAACAUGACUUUAAUACCCAUUAUUGUUUGGAUUCUUACAGCCUGCACCUGGGUUGCCGUGGGACAGAUUUUGACUCAGUCUGAAGCUCAAACAGUAGAUUCUGGUCAAACUGUCAGUAUUCAUUGUAAACAUACACCAGCAUUAGACUGUUUUAACCUAAACACAACUGACUAUUGCAUGGCUUGGUAUAGUCAGAUUCCUGGAGAAACUCCUAAACCGCUGAUCUAUUACACAUCAAGGAGAGCUUCAGGAGUUUCCUCUAGAUUUAGUGGGAGUGAGGAUGGAAAACAUAUUGAUUUUACUCUGACCAUCAGUAAAGUCCAGCCUGAAGAUUCAGGAGUUUAUUACUGUCAUAGUCAACACACUAGAACAGGAGAUCCUAAGAACUAUGACUGGGUGUUCACACAGUGUUAAAGCAUCAUACAAAAACCUCCAUCAGACCUGCAGAUGCAUCCUUCUGUAUUUACAUCUUUUAUAUUUUAUAUAAACAUUUCAAUAUUUGUGAUUUGUAACUUGCAUUUG